UAUACUAUAUCAAGGGAAAGAGAAAGAGCAUAGCUUGCUAAAAUGAGUUGAUUAGUUGACUCCUAGAAGUCUAGUUCUGCAAUUGAAUCCUAGACUCCAAUCUUCAUGCAUAAUUUUACCUGAUAUGUGCAUGAAUCCUCCCCAGAGAAAAGCUUGACACCAUUUACUCCCUUAGCUGUCACAUCCUAGGAUCAAGCUCGCUUGGGAGGCAUUGCAGGAUUCAGAUCAGCACAGGAUGAGUUCCUCUUGCAGUCUAUCGAGGAUCCCGUUAUGUGCCAACAUGGGUCACUCUCGUACAGCUAAAUCGGUUCUGAGCAGCUUCUGUGUUUGUGGUAUUAUAAGUUCUCAAUUGUGAAGUGUUUUUUUUAUUUAUAGCAUUUGUUAGUUAGAUUGUUAUGUUAGACUGUUCAUUCACAUGGCUUUGAUGUUAGACAGUUUUUAUUAUUGAUGGCCCUCGAGGGCUCAUCAAGGUAGACUCUCCUUCUUCAUUGAAUCUACAGUGUGGCUUAUUUCACGGAUGUAUUGUUUACAUUAUCAUUGAAUUCAAUUAUAUUUUUUUAACUUAAAAA